UUUCAGGAGUCACUGCGUAGUUCCCAACAGAUGGAACUCGUAUACUAGGUGUAAACUGAGAGGUAGUUUCUCCAUUUGCUGAAGUUUCUGUCAUCUUGUUUUGAUCCUCACUCCUCUGCUUUGUCUUAACUUUAGCUGUUGUAUUUUCCUUGAAGGGAAAGUGAAGGUUUGUUUCAGUAUGGUAACUAUUGGGCAGAGAUUGAUGAUUUACAUGCUGUAGUUCAACAUUUCCAUGAAUCUAACCGUGUAUCCACCAGUUGUUGCUCAUAGUAAUGGUAGGUUGAUUUUUCCUCCUUAUCUGUAAAUAAUUAUACCAACAAGAAAAUAAGACAGAUCAAGAUAUCAUUUUAGAUGUAUGAUUAUCCAUGCUGAUUUAUGCAGUCAUUCACUGAUCAAGUUUCAUUAUGCCUAAAAACAUUAUGAGAACUGUGUCCUUGUCAAAAUGAUUCAUAUCAACCAUGCUUUGGAUAUUAAGAUAUCAACCUUUACUGAUGCAAUAUGAAGAGAAUUGUGUACCUUGUGACAUGAAACCAUAUCAGCAUUUUAGCUUCAUCUUAUAUUUCUCAUUGUAGUUCAGCACAUAUUUUGAGAGAUCUGUGUAAUUUUAUUCAGUGUCUGUUGAUAUUUGAUGACUUGUUGAUGCAGUAUGGCCUUAUACUAGACAGGUUUAUGUAAGGAGAAGGGAAAUAUUGUAACUAGUAAUUGUGACCAAGGAAAUCAGUUGGCAUAUCAGAAUUGGUUUAGGGAGGAUCAGGUUUCUCAUUCUCAUAUUUUUCAUCCUUGAAUAAUAUAGUUCCUCUUUAUUCUUCAGUAAUCCUUCUCUAUCUCUUCUCAGGAAAUCUGAUUUUGUUAAGAAUAGGGGUCAUCAUGGAUUGAAUAUUUCAAGAUCCAUUCCAAAUAAAAUAGAUUGAGUGUAAAAUUUAGAUAUAUUUUAACUAGAUUAAACUGAAUUGAGUUUUUUUUUAAUUCAAUUUAAAUUAGAUUAAAUUCAUUUUGUAUAAUUUUUCUAAAAUUAGAUUUAAAUUUAGAUUUGAAUUGGUGUGAUGUAGACUCGGAUCGACUAGAUCCAUCCUCUAAGUUUGACUCGUUCAGACUAAUAUAGACUCAACUUAAUCAAACUUGAAUUAAUUGAGUUUGGUUUUAAUUGACUAGGCCUAAUUUGAGUUGGGCUUGGUCCGAGCCAUCCUAACUUUGGUUAGGCUUGACUCAACCCAUCAUGCCAUCUUAGCUUUAAGAAUAAAAGUAUAAAAUAGUUUGAUAGGUUACCUUCAAUCUCAAUAGAAGGAGAACUAAUCAAUCAUGGUGAUGAGGCAUGUCAAAUACAAUGAUGGAUAUUUGUGUAUUAUUAUUAUAAAAUUCACAUCUUCACUUAAAAGUCAAUGCAAGUCUUGUCAUCACAAAAAUUGAGGAAAUCGUUGAUCAAGGAACGUAAAGAUUCAAAACUCUUAUAUUUAGAAGUUUUGUUUCGAUGAUAGAUCAAAUUCAUUAUAAUCCUAUGUGUUAUUGUUUUUUUAUAAAGGAUUAAAUGUGUUAAUAGGUUUGUAUUGGACUAUGGAUCAUGUUCAUGAAUGAACUCUAAGAAUAAUUGAUUAGAUUUCUCAAUUUAUGUUUUCAGAAACUAAAAAUCACAUUUUUAAUCAAUAAAUGUUACUUUCAUGAAUCUGGCAUUAGAAAAAAUUCUAAUGCGUUUCAAAUUCAAUGGUUGUCACAUAAUUUUUAUGUAUCACUAAUAAAAACAUCUAGAUAUAUGUAUUCAUAUUUUUAUUAGGAAACCCUAAACUAUUACUUAAUUAUAUUACUUAACUAUUUUAUAAUUAGGAAGGAGUUAUUGUUAUGUAAUUAUGAUAUGGUGUUUAGAUCUAUUGAUUUAUAUGUUUAUUAUUUUAUUUUUUGUUUGUGAUGAUAAAUUAAAGUUCAAUUACAAGUUUAUAGUGAAACACAAUAAUUUAUGUAUGCAUAUAUGAAUUUCAUGUAGAAUCUUACUACUAGUGUCAUGAUAACCCAAUUUAUAAUCUAUAAUUUUGUUUCUAAAGUUGAGUAAAAUCUCAAUUUUGGCACACUUGAUUAAAUAAUGAACAACAACAUCAAUUUGAAAAUCAAGAUUAGUUAUGUAUAAAAUGGUGUUUGAAUUAUCCUUUGUGCCUUCAUUCUUUCCAAUUGAUUUGUCAAGCAUUGUGCUUAAACUGGUAAUUGAGAUUUCUUUUGGAUAGUUUAUUUUUUUUUGUGUAAAUUCCUUUUGAUAGUUGACAGCACUUGUGGUGUGACACUAAAAAGGCAGCGUUGAGGUCAACACAGUGAAUGAAGGUGGGACACAAAUACAAAAGGUCUCAUAAUAAUUGUUUUAGAAUGUACCCUUUCUUCUUACUUUUUGCUACUUUGACUCAUGCAUAAAUGGUGCUAUGACUAGUCAAUUUUCUCUUCCACCAAGUUAAAACAAGAUUCAGAGUCAUCAUGUUUUAAGGUUGAAUGUAUACUCCUUUGGAUUGAAAUGGAUUUGGUUUUCAAUUGAUU
rnacentral:lncRNA from 1 species